rnacentral:misc_RNA from 1 species
AUCAUCUUCAAAAUCAUCAUCAUCGAAAUCAAUAUCAUCCAUGUCUUCAUCAGAUUCUUCAGCAGUAGCUGCUGCAGCUUUCCCACUGGCUCUUCCACUUUCAAACCAUUGCCUCCCUGUGAGUUUCUUUUCCUUCGAAACAGAAAGUGCUGCAUCUGGCAUUAACUUGGCUCUUUCCAGAGCUAGUUCAGCUUCAAAUCUUUCCCUCCAUGCCAAGAAUGUUUCAACCGUAACUGCUUCUCCAUGUGGAACAAUUACUUCCUCUUUUUUGGCUUCAUCGUCUUCAACACCUUCGUCGGUCUCCUGAGCAAAUCUUUCAGAUAGCCAGUCUUUAGCUGUUGAGAAUCUUGGCAUGGCUAUGAUCUACACAUUGGUCUCAUCAGCUAAAGAC